rnacentral:lncRNA from 1 species
GGGUGGGCUUUGAAACCCUCCUCCUCGAUACAUGGGAUCCAGUCUGCUCCUUGAUUCCUUUGGAUGAAGGAGUUGCCUUGGUCAUGGUGUCUGUUCACAGCAGUGGAAACCCUAAUUCAGACAGUAACCUAGCAGCCUCCCCUGACAUUGAACAAUGUGAUGGGCUGACAGAUAAUGUCUUUCUUGCUGGAGGUCUUGGGGACCUCCAAACCCAGCUGAAUAGGGAGACAGACACUUGGUUUGGAGCAAAGCCUGUGAGCCAAAGGUGUGUGUCGUGGUCCGAGGGUGGAGCCUUCUGACCCAAGUGAAGUCUAUUGUCCUUCCACAUCUGCAGCUUCCUGCAAGAAGCCACUACCUGCUGAGCAGCUGAGCUUGUUUUCCUGCUGAGAUGCUGACAAAGCUAGGAGAUCCUGGCAAAGAGGGGGAUGGGUUCCCCCCUUUAAAAAUUCAGACUAAAGUUGAACCUUAAUCGGA